rnacentral:tRNA from 1 species
GGAGGGUGCAGCCCAGUGGAAGAGCUCCUGCUUAGUGUGCUCGAGGUCCUGGGUUCGAGCCCCAGGCCCUCCA